CUAAAUCCAACAUUUGAUGUUAGUAUUUUUAUUAACAUUGGGAUGUUUUUGUCUUGGACUUUCACUGUAAUCAAAGAAUAAAGGUAUAGUAAAACCUUACUGAUUUCUACUACUG